rnacentral:rRNA from 1 species
ACGGUGAAGCAGGAGCUUGCUCUUGUGGAUCAGUGGCGAACGGGUGAGUAACACGUGAGCAACCUGCCCCUGACUCUGGGAUAAGCGCUGGAAACGGCGUCUAAUACUGGAUAUGUGACGUGACCGCAUGGUCUGCGUUUGGAAAGAUUUUUCGGUUGGGGAUGGGCUCGCGGCCUAUCAGCUUGUUGGUGAGGUAAUGGCUCACCAAGGCGUCGACGGGUAGCCGGCCUGAGAGGGUGACCGGCCACACUGGGACUGAGACACGGCCCAGACUCCUACGGGAGGCAGCAGUGGGGAAUAUUGCACAAUGGGCGAAAGCCUGAUGCAGCAACGCCGCGUGAGGGAUGACGGCCUUCGGGUUGUAAACCUCUUUUAGCAGGGAAGAAGCGAAAGUGACGGUACCUGCAGAAAAAGCGCCGGCUAACUACGUGCCAGCAGCCGCGGUAAUACGUAGGGCGCAAGCGUUAUCCGGAAUUAUUGGGGCGUAAAGAGCUCGUAGCGGUUUGUCGCGUCUGCUGUGAAAUCCCGAGGCUCAACCUCGGGCCUGCAGU